rnacentral:rRNA from 1 species
UACGUAGGUGGCAAGCGUUGUCCGGAUUUACUGGGCGUAAAGAGCGCGCAGGCGGUCGUUCAAGCCGCGUGUGAAAGCCCCCGGCUCAACUGGGGAGGGUCACGCGAUACUGAUCGACUGGAAGGCAGGAGAGGGUAGUGGAAUUCCCGGUGUAGUGGUGAAAUGCGUAGAUAUCAGGAGGAACACCGGUGGCGAAGGCGGGUCUCUGGGCAGUAACUGACGCUGAGGAGCGAAAGCGUGGGGAGCGAACAGG